UUUGCAACUAAAUUGUAGUUGCUAGUGUUAAUAAUUUUGAAACCAUUCUAUUGCAACUAACAUGGUAGUCGCUAGGUCGCUACCAUUCUUUUUAAAAUUUAUUAAAAAAGAAAUAAAAAAAAACAAAAAAACCCUUAGUACAUCACUCAUUCAGUAGUUCCUUUAUUCAUAAUACAUUAAUACGUGAGUAAUACAUAGUCUACAUACUCUUUUAGCCAUAUUUUUCAGAUAAAGAACCAGGGCUUGAUAAGUGUAUGUCAUCAUAACCAAUUCUAAUCACUCACCAAGCUCCUUUCCCUGAAACCACGAAAACAUAAAAGUUUCAGUCAGAAAAUGACAGCCGAAUGUACAAGCUUUAUGCAGUAAACAUAAGCAGGCCAUUUCAGAUCGAACCCGUCGACGUUGUCUUCUUCCGCCGCUGCGCCACCAUAUCUCCAGUCCACCAAGCACUUAAAAGAACUCCCUGUCAAAAAGAAAGAAGUCGAGAAAAAGACACUAAUUAGGUAUGUUUAUUGCUUGUUUAAUAAUUUAUCUUGUUUAAUAUAUGAGUCAAUGAUUAAUGUAUUUGGCUGUCUAUAAUGAGUGCUCAAUAAUAUUCCCCCUGCUUCUAUGUGUUUCAGAUUUAUGCUUUUGAUAUUCGCUGCUUUAAAUUACGUUGAUGUUAUAUGGGUAAUAUCGUUUGAUUUUAUACUGUUAGAAUCUUUUUGGUUAGAUGUUUAAAGACUUUGUAGUGAUUCGCAUUGAAUUGUAAGCAACUAUAAUAUACCUGUACAAAAUCUGUUCAUAUAAUUCAAUUAAGGUGUCUAAUAAACUUGUAUCCAAGUUCUAAGGCUUAGUUGUUGGGGUGGGGAUUUUAGUGGAUUGAAAAACUGAAUAUUAUUGAUGAAUUUAGGCCUUUAAAUAGGCUACAGCUAUGUAAGCAAAACUUACAAAACAAAGCUAAGAAAUUGCAUAAAACAUCAAGGAAAACAACCCUUGCUAGCUUAACAUGCUUAUCAGAUUUUCCAGUUGUACCACUUGACAAAACCUGUCUUAAAACCCCAAAAAAUAUUUUUGGUUAAUUUUUCUAAUAUUUUUCUUUAACACUAGAUAUCCUAUUUUAAUUACUGCAACUGGAAUCGCCUCAAAAUUCGAAUCCAAUUGGUGCAGACCCACCUGUAGAACUCAUAAACUGACUUUUAAAUAUAUCCUUUUAUAUGAAGCCCCUGGAAUUUAUGGCUUAUCUUUUGUUAUCUGGUAUAAUAUUGUAGAACUCUUAAAAUGUGAAUCUUACAGGGAUCUAAGCAAUAUAAUCUACUUCUAAGCAACACAAUCUUACUAACUUCACUUAUAUAUCUCAUAUGCAGCUGCAUAUUUUGAUGUAUGUAGUUUCCUCUGGUCUGAAAUUUUGUUCUCUAAUUAGGUAAAACAUAUUGAGUUGUAGCAAUCUACUAUAGUUCUAUUCUACUUGUUUCACUAUAAGCAUAUGCAAAUCAUGGAUAUCAUACACAGAUGCAUUAAGUUUAGAUGUAUACUAUAUAUAACAAUUAUUGCUUCAUUUUUUUGUUCCUAUUAAGUUUCUUUUUUGGUUUCUGUCUAUUUAUGUUUUCCUACCUAAUGAAGAUUGAACACUUCUCUUUCAAUUGUUUCAAAAAUAAAGAAAAAGGAUUGUGUAUACACUAUAUGACUUCAUUUAAGCUACUUUGAAUUACAAUUAUCUGAUUAUUGUAUCUAUUAUAUGUUAAAUUCAGUAUUUGUAGUUAAUGCGUAGCUUAGAUUAGUUAUACUGGGUAUAUCAGCAUAGACAUAAAUUUCCUCAUUUGAGACUUACCGGAUAUCCUAUUCUUCCCAAAACUGAUGCUUUGCUCUUGGUUCUUCCUUAUCCUGGUAUAAAAAAAACUGAUUUUCAUUGAUACCACUAUCGAUUAUUAAGGUGCAAAGUUGGCUAGAUGAAUGAGUAGCUAUUAGAUGUCAUGUUUUUUUGAAGUCUGUAGAAUUACAUGCUCUAUUAACUGCUUUUGUGCAAGGUCGCAACUCACAUAUUUAUGUUCUCGCUGCUCUGUUGCUCUUAACUAUAAUGAAUUGAUUGCUCUAGUCAUCAUGGUUCCAUUGAAAAUGUUUAAUGUACAAUAGUAGGGCAAUGCUUGUAAAAUUAAUUACAUUGGUUUGUCAAUUGCUUUCCAAUCAAGUGUCUGAUUGAAACACCCUCUCCACGCUUGAAAUUUGGAGAAAAGCUGCAAUUAUAUAAUCAUUGAGUCUAUCUUAUUUAUGUCUUCUUGUGUGAUUAUAUAUCAUGAUUAGGAUGUUGUUCACAUAUUUAUUUAUUUUUUCAUUAGGUUUUUGGCCUAUAUACUUGUAUAGAGAACUCAGGUAUAUGUGUUAUUAGAUUGCCAAUGUAUGCUUCAUGUAAAUACCCUUGAGAAAGUGAGAAACAUUCCAACGUUGCGUUUGUAGAUGAUUGUAUGUCUGGUUUCCUAUCAUAAGAAAGAGAAUCUGUCAAAUAAAUUAUCUAGGCUUGUUAUCAUUUAUAUCUCAACUAAGCUUUCAAGUUGAAGAAUUAAAGAAGAUGGCGGAAGAAAACAAUGACAAGGCAGAAGAAAGCCAAAAAAUGGCGGCAGAAAGCUUAAAAUAUGCCAGGGAAAUUGCUGAAAAUCAUGAGAUAGAAUAAGCAACAUGGAAGAAGGAAAAAAAGCUUAGCACAAAACAUUGAAGGAUAUGACAACACUUGUCCAACAUUACUAUCCUACGAAGCCUCCUACGUUUACUGUCACCCUGUAUCGUGAUGCAACUUAGUGAUUUUAUUUCUUGGUGGUAAUUUUGUGAACAGUUGAUCUAUAUAUUGGAGGCGUAUUUGUAUAUCAUUAGUUCUUAUUGGAAGUAGCUUCCUUUAUACGGGAGGUGAUUUUGAAACAAUUAUUCUUAUGGUUUUAGAAUAUUGUUUUUUAAUAUAUUGAUACAAAAUUGAUGAUAUUUUUGAUAUAUGAAUAAAAUUGACAUUUUGGUUA